rnacentral:tRNA from 1 species
GGGGGGUUAGCUCAGUUGGGAGAGCGUCGCGUUCGCAAUGCGAAGGUCAGGGGUUCGAUCCCCCUACCCUCCACCA